CACGCCGUAAACGGUGGGUACUAGGUGUGGGGCUCAUUUCACGAGUUCUGUGCCGUAGCUAACGCAUUAAGUACCCCGCCUGGGGAGUACGGCCGCAAGGCUAAAACUCAAAGGAAUUGACGGGGGCCCGCACAAGCGGCGGAGCAUGUGGAUUAAUUCGAUGCAACGCGAAGAACCUUACCUGGGUUUGACAUACACCAGACGCAGUCAGAGAUGGCUGUUCCCUUGUGGUUGGUGUACAGGUGG
rnacentral:rRNA from 1 species